rnacentral:snoRNA from 1 species
GACCUCUCAGAAUCAUACCUGGAGAUUUUCCAGUACUCUACUGGUCUCAGCUAUGGGAGGAAGAGUCAAGCAGAGGCAUACCCAUUCCAUUCCUAGCUUGGGCAGUGGCUAGCGAGUGGAAGGCAAUCUACUACAAGU